UACGAAGGGGGCUAGCGUUGCUCGGAAUCACUGGGCGUAAAGGGUGCGUAGGCGGGUCGUUAAGUCGGGGGUGAAAUCCUGGAGCUCAACUUCAGAAUUGCCUUCGAUACUGGCUUUCUAGAGGCUGGAAGAGGUUAGUGGAAUUCCCAGUGUAGAGGUGAAAUGCGUAGAUAUCUGGAGGAACACCGGUGGCGAAGGCGGCAUCCUGGACCGACAUUGACGCUGAGGCGCGAAAGCCAGGGGAGCAAAGCGGG
rnacentral:rRNA from 1 species